UACAGAGGGGCAAGCGUUGUUCGGAAUUACUGGGCGUAAAGGGCGCGUAGGCGGCCUUCUAAGUCGAACGUGAAAUCCCCGGGCUCAACCCGGGAACUGCGUCCGAUACUGGAAGGCUUGAAUCCGGGAGAGGGAUGUGGAAUUCCAGGUGUAGCGGUGAAAUGCGUAGAUAUCUGGAGGAACACCGGUGGCGAAGGCGACAUCCUGGACCGGUAUUGACGCUGAGGCGCGAAA
rnacentral:rRNA from 1 species